AUCCUUUGUUUUCUCUUCAGACCACGGUUAAAUCUUUCACCUUUUACUAAAGAUUUUCGUGGAAAGUAACAUUUACUGGGUCUAUCGAUUUAUUUUUCCUUAUGUCUUCAGGAUG